rnacentral:rRNA from 1 species
ACGGCUGAGUAACGCGUGGGUGACGUACCUGUUGGUGGGGAAUAACUGCCCGAAAGGGUGGCUAAUUCCGCAUAAGUCCUUUGGUUCAAUCUGAAGGGGAAAGCUUCGCAAGAGGCGCCGAUGGAGCGGCCCGCGUCCGAUUAGCUUGUUGGUGGGGUAACGGCCUACCAAGGCGACGAUCGGUAGCUGGUCUUAGAGGAUGAUCAGCCAGACUGGGACUGAGACACGGCCCAG